AACGAACGCUGGCGGCAGGCUUAACACAUGCAAGUCGAACGCCCCGCAAGGGGAGUGGCAGACGGGUGAGUAACACGUGGGGAUCUGCCCAAUGGUACGGAAUAAUUCCGGGAAACUGGGACUAAUACCGUAUGUGCCCGCAAGGGGAAAGAUUUAUCGCCAUUGGAUGAACCCGCGUCGGAUUAGCUAGUUGGUGAGGUAAAGGCUCACCAAGGCGACGAUCCGUAGCUGGUCUGAGAGGAUGAUCAGCCACACUGGGACUGAGACACGGCCCAGACUCCUACGGGAGGCAGCAGUGGGGAAUAUUGGACAAUGGGCGCAAGCCUGAUCCAGCCAUGCCGCGUGAGUGAUGAAGGCCUUAGGGUUGUAAAGCUCUUUCGCCGACGAAGAUAAUGACGGUAGUCGGAGAAGAAGCCCCGGCUAACUUCGUGCCAGCAGCCGCCGUAAAAC
rnacentral:rRNA from 1 species